GGGCAUAUAACUCAGUAGUAGAGUGUAUGCUUAGCAUGCACAGGGUCCUAGGUUCAAUUCCCAGUAUCUCCA
rnacentral:tRNA from 1 species